rnacentral:tmRNA from 1 species
GGGGGCGUUAUGGAUUCGACGGGUAUAGUUCGAAUUCGGAUUGCGUUCGCAGCGGCGUCUGCUCAACCGUCCAGUUUUUAAAUUAUAACUGCAAACAAUAAUUCAAACAACGUCGCUUUAGCUGCCUAAUAAGCAGUCUACGACAAUCCAACUAGCUUUGCCUAGGGGCUAACUUGGGUUUUAUAAUUGAUAGGCUUACGUUACUUGCUCACACCUGAAGUUAAGUAAAAGAGAUUAAUC